rnacentral:tRNA from 1 species
GUGGCAGUAGCUUAGUGGUAGAGCUCUCGCUUCGAACACGGGAAGACCUGCGUUCGAUUCCCGGUUGCUUCC